rnacentral:sRNA from 1 species
UAUUUUUCUUCUAGAGAAUAUAUUUUUUGGGUAUAAAUUGGGUUAAAAUAGAGUCAAAAUCGUAUUAGUUUUGGUUAAAUUAUGGGUAAGUCAAACCGGAUGUGUAAUUAUCGGUUAACUGGUCGGUUCAAUUGGAGGCAUAGUUUUAAGAACAAAUCCGAAAGUACAUGUAGUUUUAUCGAGAUUAAAAUUGUUAAUGGUGGUUUUUCAAGUGGCUAAAAGUUUAGGGUGGAAAGUUGAGAUUCUAACUAGUAUAGGGCUGAAAAUUAAGGCAACCCAUUUUUAUUUGAACGUUUAAUACCCAACUGUUUUUGGUUGGAAAAAAAUACAUGAAGUAAUAGACUUGUAAAAUUUAAUACCCAAACAAAUAAAUGU